rnacentral:rRNA from 1 species
UACGGGGGGGGCAAGCGUUGUUCGGAAUUACUGGGCGUAAAGGGCUCGUAGGCGGCCAACUAAGUCAGACGUGAAAUCCCUCGGCUAAACCGGGGAACUGCGUCUGAUACUGGAUGGCUUGAGUUCGGGAGAGGGAUGUGGAAUUCCAGGUGUAGCGGUGAAAUGCGUAGAUAUCUGGAGGAACACCGGUGGCGAAGGCGGCAUCCUGGACCGACACUGACGCUGAUGAGCGAAAGCCAGGGGAGCAAACGGG